rnacentral:rRNA from 1 species
AAGAAUUGACGGGGGCCCGCACAAGCGGCGGAGCAUGUGGAUUAAUUCGAUGCAACGCGAAGAACCUUACCUGGGUUUGACAUACACCAGACGCAUGUAGAGAUACAUGUUCCCUUGUGGUUGGUGUACAGGUGGUGCAUGGCUGUCGUCAGCUCGUGUCGUGAGAUGUUGGGUUAAGUCCCGCAACGAGCGCAACCCUUGUCCUGUAUUGCCAGCGGGUUAUGCCGGGGACUUGCAGGAGACUGCCGGGGUCAACUCGGAGGAAGGUGGGGAUGACGUCAAGUCAUCAUGCCCCUUAUGUCCAGGGCUUCACACAUGCUACAAUGGCUGGUACAGAGGGCUGCGAUACCGUGAGGUGGAGCGAAUCCCUUAAAGCCAGUCUCAGUUCGGAUUGGGGUCUGCAACUC